rnacentral:rRNA from 1 species
UACGUAGGGACCGAGCGUUGUCCGGAUUCAUUGGGCGUAAAGAGCUCGUAGGCGGCCACUCAAGUCGAAUGUGAAACCUCGAGGCUCAACCUCGAGCCUGCAUUCGAUACGUGGGCGGCUAGAGUCUGGUAGGGGGAGUCUGGAAUUCCUGGUGUAGCGGUGGAAUGCGCAGAUAUCAGGAGGAACACCGGUGGCGAAGGCGGGAUCCUGGGCCAGUACUGACGCUGAGGAGCGAAAGCGUGGGGAGCAAACAGG